CUGCUUGCAUUGUGACUUUUGGUUCUGUUCUGUUUGCUACUCUGCAUUGAGCUUUUCUCCAGACAGACAUCAUGUCCCAGAAUGCUUGAAUCAAGUCCCCUUUCACCAAAGAAUGGACAAUGGUUGCUAAAUCCAGGCCUACACAUGGCAAGUAGAUAUUCCUCUCACUGCUUAGGAAAGAAAGAGCAUAUGUGGGAUCAUUUUUUCAUGGUUUUGUUAAGCCUAUUGUUUCACAACUUGCAUUAGUCUAAAGCGCUAAACUUUCUCGUGCAUGUUUUUGAAUCAGUACCAAGUUCACAUGUUGCGUUUUUCUCCAUGCUUGCUCUAGUCUAUAUGUGUUCUGGCUCUGAAGGAAACACCUAGAAUGAAGGAAUUGACUACCAUUAAUAUCAAUUUGGCACUUUCAGAUUCACACAUCAAAGCUAUUUUGUUACGCAAGUAACCAAAUAACCAAGCAUGGUUUGGAUCACUAGAAUUCUGUUGCAUAUUUCAUGGUGUUAACAAAAGCAGACAACAGUAACAACCAACAUCUAUGGUCUUUACCAUUAAAACUACACAUGCUUAUUAAAAGAACUUACAUCCGCAUCUUCAUCUAUUUCUUCAAAGUCCCUGGAUUUCUUUCUUGAGUGUCCCCUACCUGUGGUCAUGCAGGGUGGAUAAGCAGACAUGCAAAUUACGAUAACGAAAUAAUUUUCUUUAAGGCCUUCAUAUUUGCCAGGUGAUUCCAGAAUUUAUAGAUCAGAGGGAUUUAUUGACAGUUUGACAUCAGAAAAAUGUUUAGUGAAGGCCAAAUAUCAUAGAUUGAUUGUAUUUCCAUACUGGUGUAUCAUUACUUAGAUUGCUGCAGGUAGUUGGCACAAUUUCACAAACUGCCUAGUAAUGGGCAUCCAACAUAUUAUAUUUUAACUUGUUUCCUGGAUUUAACAAUAAGAGCUUGCUGGGUAUAGUAACAAGAGUUUAAUUUUUUUUAACAGUUUGCACCAACAGGCCAAAUAUUUUCUGUUUUCAAUCACUUGUAAGUAGCAGAUUACCACAAUGCUUACUACUGCACUGUCAUUAUGUUCAUCAGGUAUUGCAUUUCACUAUGUUCAUCAGGUAUUACAUUUCACUUGAACAUGAAACUGGAGAGAGUUACCUGCAAACCCACUGAAAGUGUGUCUUCUGCUUCCUUGCUUCCUGUCCAACAGGAACUUGGCGUCGCGUCUGAAAUAGAGCAUGCCGAUGAGGCCCCACAUGCAGCCUGUGUUGUUCUCCUGCUGCCUAGCCGGUCUUUGACUUCUCUUCCCCAUGUCGGAUGGCUUGUUCCUCUGCUCUUUGCAAUUUGCAUACCCCUUCUAUUCUUUACAGGCUAGUUCAUUGGGCUAAUCCUCUUGCCGCAAGUUUGGUUCCUGAAAGAUACUCUGCAGUUAGCUGAUGAACACUCUGGAUUCAUCCUGAUGACCAUGCACGUAUGAAAGAACAGAAGAAAUAAGAUUUCGCAGGAGCAAGAGUAAGAGGAAAUGCAGCAAACUGCCAGCAUAAACCAACAGCAACAGGUUCCAAUGAUCUGUUAUCAAAGGAAGAUAUGCUAAAAACGCCUCAAAUACACAGACAAACAUUUCUUCAUGCAAAACUUACCUGAUAACUGAGAGAACACAAGGAGCUUCGGCAAUAGCCAAUCUGAACCAAGAAACCACGACCACUAAAAUUCAAUUCCUCAGGACAUGCUCAUGGCCAUGUGAAGGGAUGCUAGAACCUGAAGCCCUGAGCUGUGCGCCCUUUUGGCAACGGUAACGGAAGGAAUCAGAAGCCUUUCUUGCACAAGCCUCGCUUUGAAGAAUGGAGGGAAGGCAACACUAGCUAGCUUGGUAAGGCAGCCAACACCACAUGGCAUGCACAAGCAAAAUGGACUUUCGGUCAG